ensembl:lncRNA
GACUGAACUUUGAACAGUUUUUUAUAAGAUGAACUGGUGUUACACAGCGUGUGUCAUUGCUCUGUUGAAAUGAAAGCUGAUGAUGGACUUACAAAAUGUGAUAAUUCUUCUACUGUUGUCUUGCACCACUGUGUUUACAGUACUGCAUGGACAGAAAGUUGUCACUGAUCUUAAGGUUACUGGGUACCAGGGUCAUGAUGUCACACUGUUGUGCCAAUAUAUCAAUGGAAACACAGAAGACAAAAUACUACAAAUGCAGUGAACGUGGCAGAAUGAGUCCAGUUAAUAUGAAAUCAUGGUCUUUAGCACAGACCAUGGCCUUUCUCUGCAUGACACAUUCCUGAAAGACAGAGUCAGCUUCAGAAAGAGCUCACCGCCGAUCUAUGAGGCCUCCAUCAUCAUCAAAGAUGUGAAGAUGAGUGAUCAGGGAGUUUACAGCUGUGCCUACACAACCUUCCCUAGCGGCAGUCAUACAGGACAAACCACUCUUACAGUGUUAGAAGGAUGUCACCUAUUCUGAUGUCACAAUACUGAAACCAGGCAAAGCUAACAGAAGCACCUCGUCAUCGGGGGACAUUGAAUACUCUGCGGUUUCCUUCAGUGGUCGGUCAGGAUCAGCGCCCCUGCGAGCCUCAGACUGCUUUGGGUUUCCACACAGCAGAGCAUGAAACUCUGUAUGCACAGGUGAAAAAAGACUAAUUUUAAGUACAAAUGUCACAUCUACUAAAGGUUUCUAGGUGUUUGAACAGUAGAGACAAUAAAGGGCUGAUCACAACAAGGACGACA